rnacentral:rRNA from 1 species
AUUGAACGCUGGCGGCAUGCCUUACACAUGCAAGUCGAACGGCAGCACGGGUGCUUGCACCUGGUGGCGAGUGGCGAACGGGUGAGUAAUACAUCGGAACAUGUCCUGUAGUGGGGGAUAGCCCGGCGAAAGCCGGAUUAAUACCGCAUACGAUCUACGGAUGACAGCGGGGGACCUUCGAGCCUCGCGCUAUAGGGUUGGCCGAUGGCUGAUUAGCUAGUUGGUGGGGUAAAGGCCUACCAAGGCGACGAUCAGUAGCUGGUCUGAGAGGGCGACCAGCCACACUGGGACUGAGACACGGCCCAGACUCCUACGGGAGGCAGCAGUGGGGAAUUUUGGACAAUGGGCGAAAGCCUGAUCCAGCAAUGCCGCGUGUGUGAAGAAGGCCUUCGGGUUGUAAAGCACUUUUGUCCGGAAAGAAAUACUUGGCCCUAAUACGGUCGGGGGAUGACGGUACCGGAAGAAUAAGCACCGGCUAACUACGUG